AGAGUUUGAUCAUGGCUCAGAUUGAACGCUGGCGGCAUGCCUUACACAUGCAAGUCGAACGGUAACAGGUCUUCGGAUGCUGACGAGUGGCGAACGGGUGAGUAAUACAUCGGAACGUGCCCGAUCGUGGGGGAUAACGAAGCGAAAGCUUUGCUAAUACCGCAUACGAUCUACGGAUGAAAGCAGGGGACCGCAAGGCCUUGCGCGAACGGAGCGGCCGAUGGCAGAUUAGGUAGUUGGUGGGAUAAAAGCUUACCAAGCCGACGAUCUGUAGCUGGUCUGAGAGGACGACCAGCCACACUGGGACUGAGACACGGCCCAGACUCCUACGGGAGGCAGCAGUGGGGAAUUUUGGACAAUGGGCGAAAGCCUGAUCCAGCCAUGCCGCGUGCAGGAUGAAGGCCUUCGGGUUGUAAACUGCUUUUGUACGGAACGAAAAGACUCUGGUUAAUACCUGGGGUCCAUGACGGUACCGUAAGAAUAAGCACCGGCUAACUACGUGCCAGCAGCCGCGGUAAUACGUAGGGUGCAAGCGUUAAUCGGAAUUACUGGGCGUAAAGCGUGCGCAGGCGGUUAUAUAAGACAGAUGUGAAAUCCCCGGGCUCAACCUGGGAACUGCAUUUGUGACUGUAUAGCUAGAGUACGGCAGAGGGGGAUGGAAUUCCGCGUGUAGCAGUGAAAUGCGUAGAUAUGCGGAGGAACACCGAUGGCGAAGGCAAUCCCCUGGGCCUGUACUGACGCUCAUGCACGAAAGCGUGGGGAGCAAACAGGAUUAGAUACCCCGGUAGUCCAA
rnacentral:rRNA from 1 species